rnacentral:lncRNA from 1 species
AGGGACAAGAAAUUCCAGGAGAGCUGACUGAUUUGCACAAUGUUGUUUGUUUAGAUCACACCUUCGGACACGAAUGCAGUUUGAGCUGUGAGGACUGCAUGAAUGGAGGCUGAUGCCAGGAAGGAAAGAGUGAGUGUUCCUGUCCCAAUGGCUGGAGAGGCUUUCUUUUUAAUGAAACUCGUUCCCCAGAGACCAGUGUGAGAGAGUAUGAUGACAUCUGUGAUUGUCAGAAUGGAGGCACCUGUGACCCUCUGACUGGGCGAUG